GUAGGCCGGCGGAAACUACUUGC
rnacentral:miRNA from 10 species